GAGAGCGCAAUACAACGGAUAGUUGUAUGCUGCGUUCGGGAAGGAUGAAUCGUUCCCGAAAAGGAAUUUAUUGAUUUUUUUCCAAAUGAUUGGACCGUAAGUGCGAUAAUUUACUUCAC
rfam:Lupinus angustifolius cultivar Tanjil chromosome LG18, whole genome shotgun sequence.